rnacentral:rRNA from 1 species
UACGGAGGAUCCAAGCGUUAUCCGGAUUUAUUGGGUUUAAAGGGUGCGUAGGCGGCUUAUUAAGUCAGGGGUGAAAGACGGUGGCUCAACCAUCGCAGUGCCCUUGAUACUGAUGAGCUUGAAUACACUAGAGGUAGGCGGAAUGUGACAAGUAGCGGUGAAAUGCAUAGAUAUGUCACAGAACACCGAUUGCGAAGGCAGCUUACUAUGGUGUGAUUGACGCUGAGGCGCGAAAGCGUGGGGAUCAAACAGG